CCGUUGACGUGAUAAAAACGGAUCAAGGCAGUGGAUUGUGAAUCCACCAUGCGCGGGUUCAAUUCCCGUCGUUCGC
rnacentral:tRNA from 1 species